rnacentral:tRNA from 6 species
CGGGGCAUAGUGAAAUGGUAUCACACGCCGUUCGGGUCGGCGGAUUUACGGUUCAAAUCCGUAUGCCCCGA